UCUAGAGAGACUGCCAGGGAUAACCUGGAGGAAGGUGGGGAUGACGUCAAAUCAUCAUGCCCCUUAUGCUUAGGGCUACACACGUGCUACAAUGGGUAGUACAGAGGGUUGCCAAGCCGUAAGGUGGAGCUAAUCCCUUAAAGCUACUCUCAGUUCGGAUUGUAGGCUGAAACUCGCCUACAUGAAGCUGGAGUUACUAGUAAUCGCAGAUCAGAAUGCUGCGGUGAAUGCGUUCCCGGGUCUUGUACACACCGCCCGUCACACCACGGGAGUUGGAGACGCCCGAAGCCGAUUAUCUAACCUUUUGGAAGAAGUCGUCGAAGGUGGAAUCAAUAACUGGGGUGAAGUCGUAACAAGGUAGCCGUAUCGGAAGGUGCGGCUGGAUCACCUCCUUUCUAAGGAGA
rnacentral:rRNA from 1 species